rnacentral:rRNA from 1 species
UACGAAGGGGGCUAGCGUUGUUCGGAAUUACUGGGCGUAAAGCGCGUGUAGGCGGGUCUUUUAAGUCAGGGGUGAAAUGCCAAGGCUCAACCUUGGAACUGCCUUUGAUACUGGAGACCUUGAGUCCGGGAGAGGUGAGUGGAAUUGCGAGUGUAGAGGUGAAAUUCGUAGAUAUUCGCAAGAACACCAAGUGGCGAAGGCGGCUCACUGGCCCGGAACUGACGCUGAGACGCGAAAG